rnacentral:rRNA from 1 species
GCAAGUCGAGGGGCAGCGGGGAAGUAGCAAUACUUCCGCCGGCGACCGGCGCACGGGUGAGUAACACGUAUGGAACCUGCCCGUAGCAGGGGGAUAAGCGGAAGAAAUUCCGUCUAAUACCGCGUAAUAACUUCGAGAGGCAUAUCAUGGGGUUUAAAGGGUGACACCGGCUACGGAUGGCCAUGCGGGGCAGUAGCUAGUUGGCGGGGUAACGGCCCACCAAGGCGACGAUGCGGAGGGGGUCUGAGAGGAAGGGC